AUUUCUCUGAGAUGUUCGCAAGCGGGCCAGUCCCCUGAGCCGAUAUUUCAUACCACAAGAAUGUGGCGCUCCGCGGUUGGUGAGCAUGCUCGGUCCGUCCGAGAAGCCUUAAAACUGCGACGACGCAUUCACCUUGAACCAAGGGUUCAAGGGUUACAGCCUGCGGCGGCAUCUCGGAGAUUCC
rnacentral:other from 1 species